rnacentral:rRNA from 1 species
UUAUAAGAGACAGCAGUAGCCGCGGUAAUACGUAGGUGGCAAGCGUUGUCCGGAAUUAUUGGGCGUAAAGGGCUCGCAGGCGGUUUCUUAAGUCUGAUGUGAAAGCCCCCGGCUCAACCGGGGAGAGUCAUUGGAAACUAGGAAACUUGAGUGCAGAAGAGGAGAGUGGAAUUCCACGUGUAGCGGUGAAAUGCGUAGAGAUGUGGAGGAACACCGGUGGCGAAGGCGACUCUCCGGUCUGUAACUGACGCUGAGGAGCGAAAGCGUGGGGAGCGAACAGGAUUAGAUACCCGAGUAGUCCCUGUCUCUUAUAC